rnacentral:lncRNA from 1 species
ACACUCUCCGAUGAACAUCUACCAGUAAUUACUGCAACUUUAGAUGAGCUUCGACAAUUUAUUACUAUUGACAAUCAGUAAAAAGCUGACAAAUGAAGUUGUGAGCACCCAUCACUUAAUAUGAUAAUUGGGUGCUGAUUGGAAAGCAGGAUUAAAGAAUGGCGAUGAAUAUUCCGAUCUGGUUUGAAGUUUUUCAUUUGCUUGCACAUUCUUCUUUUUUGCCCCUUACUGGAUUGACAUUUCUCUAUCUUUUAUUGCUUCUCUUUUGUCCUUUAAAAGUGAAAAUUUGUUUAGCACUUUAAGGUCAUUCUAAAUUCUUGUAGUCCUCCAAUUUUAUCCAAUAUUUACCUCAAUGUCUCCACCAAUUUAUGAAGAAAAAAAAUCUAAAUUCUCCAUCACAUUUCCUAUAUUUAAUACUCUUCUCUUUUUUUUUGCUCAUUGUUUUAGGAAAAGAUACUUUCGGUCAGGAAUAACACCAUUAAAAGGAGAUUUUCAACUCAUAAUCAGCUUGACAAACAAUUCAAUUGAUUCAGAUAAUGAUUAUAUGAUGAUUUUCCAGCCGUAUCUUUCGAUUCUUGUUCUCUGUGUUGUAUAAUUUCCAAAACUAAAAAAGGGUUAGUUUCAAGUUUGAGAACUGACAGUUUUGGGUUUGUUGAGGCAGGAAUUAAGAGCUUUCUUAUCCAUGAAACAUGGUGAAGAAAUUUAGAAUGUUUGCUCAGUUUGCUAUGUAUAACAAAAUAUGUUUGCACCUGUAAGCAAGAUGUUGUAAACUAUUCUACCUUUUCAAAGUAUGAAAACUCGUUGAGAAUGAUUCUAAAUAGAACUUUUCUUUAAUCAUGAUAACCUUAAAUUUUGUUUUCUCCGUAUCUUUUUCACCCUCAAGUGUUAAAUAUCUAUGUUCUUAUACUAUGCAGCCGAUAACAACUUUAUUGUAAAAAUACUGGAGCAGCCAUCACUUUAAAGUCCUGGAUAAGCCAUGAGAUCUCUCGGCCAAACUAGGCAUUUUAUAUACAUAUUUUCUAGAAUUGAUCUAUUAUUUUCUAUUGGUCAAUUCCGUUAGUCCUAAGGAUACUAAAGGUUAAGAUUAGCUAGUCCUUUCAAAUUUAAUGUCUCUAGUUUUAAAACAUUUUCCCCAUAUCAAUUCAACUGAGUCAAUCGGCCUUUUCAUAGAGGUAUUGUAUGCCUUCUUUGUGGUGUCAAGAUUUUGACUUCAGACAAACGAGUUAUCGCAUAAAACUAAUGUCAAAUUCAGUUCCCAAAUUCAAAUUCAUGAACCUGUUCCAUAUUUCUGAUAGUGGUUCUAGCUUCUUGUUUUCUGUUGACGUUGCCCACCAAACCUAAAAAAGAAGAGGAUGGAUCUGGUCAAUCACUUCAAUAAAUAGAAUAAGCAAAUAUUCUUCAAACAGAGAUGCCCUCGGCCACCAGUCCAGUGACUAACUGCAAAUAAGCACUACAAAAUAUUGCUCCCCAACAUGCUAGAUGUUGAGAAUUUAAAUUCUCCUGACAGUUAACAAAUCAAAUUACAGUUAAAUUAGAAAAAUUAAGCAAGUUGCGUCGCGACUCUUAUUCUGAUUAUUACUUGUUCUAUGUAGCUUAAAAGAAGGCAAAAAAGAGCAGCAUACGCUAAAAGAAGGCAUAAAAGAGAAGCAUACGCACCUGUAGAGAGUACCAAAAGCUAAAUUGUCUCGAUCGCCACGAGAGUUAAAUACUAGUCUUUAAACAUUAGUAUUAGCUGAAAAAGAAGCCCAAGUUCGAACAUCACAUUUUCUAGAAGAAGAAAGUGUAUAG